CUUUCCCGUAUCUUGGUCGUCACUGCGCGCAUACACACGUAAACAGCGACGCCGCGUGCCGUCCUUGGCGCCGAGCGUAUACUCAUAAAGAGGGACAUUAAGCGUCCGCGCCGAGACGCGCUGGCGAGCCAUCAUUGUCUCUCCAUUUAGGGCCCAUCGCCUGGCGGAGGCGGCUGUUGGCAGACGUCGACCGGGACGGCGCGCACGAUGCGGGAGGCACCAGUGCGCGCGGAUCGCAACGCAGGGCAUCUCGCGAAGACGCCGCCACCAACUCGACGAGGGCUCACGGAGGGCACACCACGCCGGCGCCGCCAAUCCAUGUGUUCUGCAUGUCCCGCGAGCCCACGGCACCCCGGAGACCACGCACGGGAUCGACCGAGAUACUGGCCGGACUAUAGGACCUUCCACAUUACUCCCGUUACACCAGCAACAAAUCCCUGAAAAGAGACGUGAGAAGUUGAAGCCAUGACCUCGAGCCACUGCGAGCAUGCUGACACCCACCGACGAAAAGUACAGAAAUUAUACUUCAGAAGACCUAUCCGAAGCUAACUCCAGGAUAUCUUGUUACCCUUGACACGUCGCGUCGUGUGGCUUCUAAUAUUCACGGGUCGGAUACACAAAAAGCUGAAUGGGAUAUAAUUUAUUUUAUAUACACUCUUUCUGAACAAUU